GGGGAUUUAGCUCAGCGGCAUAAGCACCUGCCUUGCAAGCAGGUGGUCGUGAGUUCCAUCCCCA
rnacentral:tRNA from 1 species